AUGGCUUUGAGCACCCAAAUAGCCUCCUCCCCAUCUCUUUCUUGGGCUGAACCACCUCCUCGUAGGAAAUACGACGUUUUCUUGAGUUUCAGAGGUGAAGACACGCGCUGGGGUUUCAUCUCCCAUUUAGACCACCAACUGGAGUUCUGUCAAGUAUUCAAGACUUUCAAGGACGACCGGGAGCUUGAAAUCGGAUCUGAGAUCUCUCCGAAGCUAUUAACCGCAGUCGAACAUUCUCAUCUCGCCAUCGUUGUUCUCUCACCCAACUAUGCUUCUUCCACCUGGUGCUUGGAUGAACUUGCCAAGAUUAUCGAGUUCAUGGAACCCGGAGAUAAGAGAGUUCUCCCGGUUUUUCUUAAUGUGGAUCCGUCGGACGUUCGACAUCAGAGGAAUAGCUUUACUGAAGCCUUUGCUAAGCAUGAAGUGAAGUUCAGUGACGACCCGAAGAAGGUGGAGAGGUGGAGACAUGCUUUGAGAAAAGUGGCCAAUCUAUCUGGAUGGGAUGCAAAGAAUUAUAAAUGUGAACGUGAGCUUACAGAUGUCAUUGUGAAGAGUGUAUGGGAGAAAUUACGUCCUACGAUCACAUUGUCUAAUUCCGAAGAAAAGUAAGUCGGAAUGGAUUUCAGACUUGGGCAAAUGGGUUUGCUUUUAGCUCUUGAGGGAAAAGAUGUUCGAUUUAUUGGUAUAUGGGGUAUGGGUGGAAUGGGUAAGACCACCCUUGCUAAGCUAGUGUACGAGAAAAUUUUGCAUAAUUUUGAAGUGGCUGAGUUUCUUGUUGAUGUCAGGAAGUCUCGCGGUAAACUAGUGAAUCUUCAGAAACAGGUUCUUUUCCCAGUCUUGAAGGAAAAUGUUUCACAAGUUUGGGAUGAGUACAAAGGAACUUUUUUCAUUAGAAGAUGCUUGUCCAAUAAAAAGGUUCUUCUCGUUGUUGAUGAUGUUGAUAGCUGUGACCUCCUAAAACAGUUGGCCGGACAUAAAUCUUGGUUUGGUGAGGGGAGCAGAAUCAUUGUUACAACUAGAGAUGAACGUGUGCUCAUUGAGAAUGACAUAGAAAUAUCAUUUAAGCUAUCAGGGCGAAAUGAAUGUGAAGCUCUUGAGCUAUUUUGUCAGAAUGCCUUCAAAAAAGAUCUGCCUGUGGAAGGAUUUUCAGAGCUGUCCAAGUGUUUCAUAAAUUAUGUGGAAGGGCUUCCCUUAGGUCUUAAAAUCGUUGGAAGCUCUUUGUACAAUAGAGAUCUAGAGACAUGGGAAAGUGCUUGGGACAGACUAAAGAAAGGCUCUGAUGCAAAGAUUUUUAAUUCACUCAAAAUAAGUUAUGAUGCACUAGAUUACAUGGAGAAAAACAUUUUUCUGGAUGUUGCAUUCUUCUACAAGGGGAUGAACAAGGGGCGAGUUAUUGAAUUGCUUAAGAGCUGUGACUUUAGUGCCCGUUAUGGGAUAGAAGUUCUUAUUGAGAAAUCUCUGAUAACUAUUGAUGUGGUCGAUAAUGUUGAGAUGCAUGGUUUGAUACAAGAAAUGGCACAGGAAAUUGUUCGACUAGAAACACAAGAGCCUGGUCUUCGCAGCCGUUUGUUGCAUCGUAAUGACAUAUUUCAUGUAUUCACGGCUAAUACGGGAAUAGAAGCAAUCAAAGGCAUCCGCUUGAGCCUAUCAGAAUUAGAAGAGGCAGAUUCAAACUGGAAUUUUGAAUGCUUUUCUAAGAUGCUCAAACUUAUGUUUCUUGAAUUUGAUAAUUUAAUAGUUAGUUCAGGCCCCAAAUCCCUCCCAAAUUCUUUGAUAAUACUCAGAUGGAGUUGGUAUCCUUCCAAGUCUCUUCCAGCAUGUUUCAGACCAAACUCACUUGUUGAACUUAAAAUGCAGAAUAGCCAACUCGUUAAGCUUUGGGAUGGAAGACAGGAAUUGCCUAAUUUGAAACAUUUGGAUCUUGGUGACUCCAAUAAUUUGAAGAAGACCCCAGAUUUCACAGGUAUGUCGAAUCUUGAGGAAUUGAAUCUUGCAUUUUGUGAGGGUUUAGUUGAGGUCCAUCCAUCCAUUGCAGUGCACAAAAAACUGAAGUUGUUGACACUCUACGGAUGCAAAAACGUUAAGAGCUUCCCAAGUAAGAUUGAAAUGGAUUCCCUCAAGUUUCUCGACCUUUCCUACUGCUCAAAACUAAAGAUUCCAGAAUUUGGAGAAGGGAUGGAAAACCUGUGUCACCUUAUCAUACCCGGUACUGCUACUGAGGAACUACCUUCAUCAAUUGAACAUAUGGUUGGUCUUGAAGUGCUCGAUAUGUCACGAUGCCCAAAACUGAAAAAACUAGUAGAAAAUACGGGGGAGAUAGAGUGUUUGAAACCAUCUAUGAGAAGUAAGCUUGGCUCCUUAUUCAGAAGAAAGAGUCUAGAGCCUUCGUUGCCAUCUCCAAGGGCUUUUCCGUCUUUGUGGUCGUUAGAACUAGCUGAUUGUCAUCUUAGUCAAGGAGUAAUCCCCGAUGAUAUUGGCUACUGCUUUCCAUCUCUAUAUGGGUUGCGUCUUGAUGGAAAUGAUUUUAUUACUCUUCCCGCAAGCAUUAAAUGCCUUUCUAAGCUUGCUGCCAUUAAUUUGACGGGGUGCAAAAGGCUUCAACAAUUACCGGAUCUCCCGUCGAAUUGGUAUUUACAAGUGUGGGCAGAUGAUUGUGAUUCCUUAAAAAAGUUGUCAGAACCAUCACAGCAGGGCACAUCCUCCAAUUUGGUGGGCUUUCGUUUAUCAACUGUGAACUGCUUUGGAUUGAUCGACAGUGAAGGCUUCACUAAUGGAAUAUUUUCGAUGCUAAGGAGAUUGGCUUCUCAGGGAAUCUCCCGGGACUUUCUCUCAUACAGCUGUACUGUUCGUCCAUCAUUUGAUAUUCUAAGUCCUGGAAGUAGAAUCUCAGAGUGGUUUGAUAUUCGAAGCGAGGGAGGCUCAUUGACUGUGGAGCUGCCUCCGGAUCGGAAAAAUUGUAAAUCAAAGUGGAUGGGCAUUGUGUUUUGUGUUGUUUUUGCCGAUCUGAAAGAACCUCACACUCUUGAGAAUGAUGAGUUCGUAAUUGAAGGUCUAUCGCCAGCGGUUGGUGUUAAACACAUUCAUGAUUCAAAAAAGCACUUUAUGCAUCUAACAAAUACGAAGCGGCAUAUGAAGGGAGAUCAUCUUUGGGUGUCUUUUAUGCCUCGUGGUCAAAUCCGGGAUACCACAAGCUGCUCUUUUACGUUCUCAUUCGAUGCGUAUUGUGAUUCUUGGCGGCAUCCUCGUAUUCCAUGCCCGAAUUGUGUGAAGAGGUGUGGAGCCCGAUUGUUGUACAAGGAAGAUUUGAAAAACUUGCUCAAUCCACCCACCGACAUCAUGAAACGGAGUCUUGAAUUAUGCGACUCAGAGGGAGGCAGAAGCAAGAGGAGAAGGUCCGAGUAAAAUUGCAAGUGGUAGCUAGCUCUAACAAUGAAUCAUUAUUCAAAAGACUCGAGGCAUGAUACUAAUCGUUCUUGUGGAGGAUUAUGGGCUUGAUUUUGAAGGUGAAGAUCAUCCUUUUGAGUGCAUGUGUG